CACCAGACUCCUACGGGAGGCAGCAGUGAGGAAUAUUGGUCAAUGGGCGAGAGCCUGAACCAGCCAAGUCGCGUGAAGGAUGAAGGAUCUAUGGUUUGUAAACUUCUUUUAUAUGGGAAUAAAGUGAGGAACGUGUUCCUUUUUGUAUGUACCAUAUGAAUAAGCAUCGGCUAACUCCGUGUCAGCAGCCGCGGUAAUACGGAGGAUGCGAGCGUUAUCCGGAUUUAUUGGGUUUAAAGGGUGCGUAGGUGGUUAAUUAAGUCAGCGGUGAAAGUUUGUGGCUCAACCAUAAAAUUGCCGUUGAAACUGGCAGACUUGAGUUGGCGAGAAGUGCGCGGAAUGCGUGGUGUAGCGGUGAAAUGCAUAGAUAUCACGCAGAACUCCGAUUGCGAAGGCAGCGCACCGGCGCCCUACUGACGCUCAGGCACGAAAGCGUGGGUAUCGAACAGGAUUAGAUACCCCGGUA
rnacentral:rRNA from 1 species